rnacentral:rRNA from 1 species
UACAGAGGGGGCAAGCGUUGUUCGGAAUUACUGGGCGUAAAGGGCGCGUAGGCGGCCUGUUAAGUCGAACGUGAAAUCCCCGGGCUCAACCCGGGAACUGCGUCCGAUACUGGCAGGCUUGAAUCCGGGAGAGGGAUGCGGAAUUCCAGGUGUAGCGGUGAAAUGCGUAGAUAUCUGGAGGAACACCGGUGGCGAAGGCGGCAUCCUGGACCGGUAUUGACGCUGAGGCGCGGAAAGCCAGGGGAGCAAACAGGG